ACACCUCAGUUACUGAGAAAAUGGACAACAUUCCAGUGCCCAUCAGUCUGGGCCUGCAGCCUGUACCCCUAAUUGCCCACACUCACAGUAGAACGGGUUCAUAGGUCAAGGGCUUCUGGCGAAGGGUCAGGUGAGGCAGCCGCCCCAGGGCCAGGCGGCCCACAACGGAGAGGCUAGAACACCCACAACCGAGGAGAGAGGAAACAGCCGCAGGACUCGCCCCCUGUGAUCAGCUUGAUGAAGACCUAGUCCAAAAAGAAGUGAACAUAACAACAAACGAAGAGUAACAGAACAAUGUAUUAGCUGAUGCCGAUCUGGUCUAUGAGGUGGGAAGUAAAGUGAAAACAACCAUUGAGUCCCCAUUGCCAUGUGUGUCUGAUUCCCUAACCAAAGUCUUCUUUUGUGACAUUCGACCAAAUAACUUAGGGAUUCUUCAUGCUGUUCAAACAGUUUUUGCUCACAGAAAAUGUGGAUGAGGCACAGGUUAUAAUUGUCCAGGCAUGAUAUCAAGGAGCAGGGUAUGACACGGAUGAUAAUGAUGAUGAUGUGGGUGAUCCAGAUUGGAUUUACAAUAAAAGAAAGCACUCUCCAGACAGUGAAGACUCGGAUGAGGAUUUAAAAAGGCAAACAAAGAAAAACAGAAAUAACAGUGGAAAAAAGAAGUGGACGCCGCAGGAACAACGAGUUGUGAUGAGUGAAUUUGAAAAAUAUAUGCAUCGUAACAAAUUGCCUGGGAAGUCCGAAUGCGAGAAAUUGCUAAAAGAAAACCCGUGUUUAAGUAGAAGAAGUUGGAGAAAUAUUAAAGACUU